rnacentral:rRNA from 1 species
UGGGGAAUAUUGCACAAUGGGCGCAAGCCUAAUGCAGCCAUGCCGCGUGUGUGAAGAAGGCCUUCGGGUUGUAAAGCACUUUCAGCGAGGAGGAAGGUGGUGAACUUAAUACGUUCAUCAAUUGACGUUACUCGCAGAAGAAGCACCGGCUAACUCCGUGCCAGCAGCCGCGGUAAUACGGAGGGUGCAAGCGUUAAUCGGAAUUACUGGGCGUAAAGCGCACGCAGGCGGUUUGUUAAGUCAGAUGUGAAAUCCCCGGGCUCAACCUGGGAACUGCAUUUGAAACUGGCAAGCUAGAGUCUCGUAGAGGGGGGUAGAAUUCCAGGUGUAGCGGUGAAAUGCGUAGAGAUCUGGAGGAAUACCGGUGGCGAAGGCGGCCCCCUGGACGAAGACUGACGCUCAGGUGCGAAAGCGUGGGGAGCAAACAGGAUUAGAUACCCCUGGUAGUCCACGCUGUAAACGAUGUCGAUUUUGGAGGUUGUGCCCUUGAGGCGUGGCUUCCGGAGCUAACGCGUUAAAUCGACCGCCUGGGGAGUACGGCCGCAAGGUUAAAACUC